rnacentral:rRNA from 1 species
GACGAACGCUGGCGGCGUGCUUAACACAUGCAAGUCGAACGGAAAGGCCCUGCUUUUGUGGGGUGCUCGAGUGGCGAACGGGUGAGUAACACGUGAGUAACCUGCCCUUGACUUUGGGAUAACUUCAGGAAACUGGGGCUAAUACCGGAUAGGAGCUCCUGCUGCAUGGUGGGGGUUGGAAAGUUUCGGCGGUUGGGGAUGGACUCGCGGCUUAUCAGCUUGUUGGUGGGGUAGUGGCUUACCAAGGCUUUGACGGGUAGCCGGCCUGAGAGGGUGACCGGCCACAUUGGGACUGGGAUACGGCCCAGACUCCUAAGGGAGGAAACAGUGGGGAAUAUUGCACAAUGGGCGGAAGCCUGAUGCAGCAACGCCGCGUGCGGGAUGACGGCCUUCGGGUUGUAAACCGCUUUCGCCUGUGACGAAGCGUGAGUGACGGUAAUGGGUAAAGAAGCACCGGCUAACUACGU